GACAGAGGUGCCAAGCGUUAGGCGGAAUCACUGGGCUUAAAGCGUGUGUAGGCGGAAGAGUAAGUACCUUGUGAAAAUCCCACGGCUCACCCGUGGAACCGCUGGGUAUACUGCUCUUCUUGGGCCACUCAGGGGCGACUGGAACAAGCGGUGGAGCGGUGAAAUGCGUAGAUAUCGCUUGGAACGCCGAAAGUGAAAACAGGUCGCUGGGAGUGCGCCGACGCUGAGACACGAAAGCCAGGGAGCAAACGGG
rnacentral:rRNA from 1 species